rnacentral:rRNA from 1 species
UGCAGUCGAACGAUGAUGCCUAGCUUGCUGGGUGGAUUAGUGGCGACGGGUGAGUAACACGUGAGUAACCUGCCCCUGACUCUGGGAUAAGCGUUGGAAACGACGUCUAAUACUGGAUAUGACUACCGGCCGCAUGGUCUGGUGGUGGAAAGAUUUUUUGGUUGGGGAUGGACUCGCGGCCUAUCAGCUUGUUGGUGAGGUAAUGGCUCACCAAGGCGACGACGGGUAGCCGGCCUGAGAGGGUGACCGGCCACACUGGGACUGAGACACGGCCCAGACUCCUACGGGAGGCAGCAGUGGGGAAUAUUGCACAAUGGGCGAAAGCCUGAUGCAGCAACGCCGCGUGAGGGAUGACGGCCUUCGGGUUGUAAACCUCUUUUAGUAGGGAAGAAGCGA